CCCUUAGAUGUUCUGGGCCGCACGCGCGCUACACUGAAUGGAUCAACGUGUUUUCCCUUCCCGAGAGGGACGGGUAACCCGCUGAACCCCAUUCGUGGUAGGGAUCGGAGCUUGCAAUUGUUCUCCGUGAACCAGGAAUUCCCAGUAAGCGCAAGUCAUAAGCUUGCGUUGAUUACGUCCCUGCCCUUUGUACACACCGCCCGUCGCACCUACCGAUUGGAUGGUCCGGUGAAGCCUCGGGAUUGUGGUUCUUGCCGCUUUAUUGUGGCGUGACCGCGAGAACUUGUCUAAACCUUAUCAUCUAGAGGAAGGUGAAGUCGUAACA
rnacentral:rRNA from 1 species